rnacentral:rRNA from 1 species
GGCUUAGAGUUUGAUCAUGGCUCAGGAUAAACGCUGGCGGCGCACAUAAGACAUGCAAGUCGAACGAACUUAACCAUUAGUUUACUAUUGGAGCGGUUAGCGGCGGACUGGUGAGUAACACGUAAGCAACCUGCCUGUUAGAGGGGAACAACAGUUAGAAAUGACUGCUAAUACCGCAUAUGCCAUAGUGAGGACAUCCUCACAGUGGGAAAGGAGAAAUCCGCUGACAGAUGGGCUUGCGUCUGAUUAGCUAGUUGGUGUGGUAACGGCAUACCAAGGCAACGAUCAGUAGCCGGACUGAGAGGUUGAACGGCCACAUUGGGACUGAGAUACGGCCCAGACUCCUACGGGAGGCAGCAGUCGGGAAUAUUGCGCAAUGGAGGAAACUCUGACGCAGUGACGCCGCGUGCAGGAAGAAGGUUUUCGGAUUGUAAACUGCUUUAGACAGGGAAGAAAAAGGACAGUACCUGUAGAAUAAGCUCCGGCUAACUACGUGCCAGCAGCCGCGGUAAUACGUAGGGAGCAAGCGUUAUCCGGAUUUAUUGGGUGUAAAGGGUGCGUAGACGGGAAAUUAAGUUAGCUGUGAAAUCCCUCGGCUUAACUGAGGAACUGCAACUAAAACUGAUUUUCUUGAGUGCUGGAGAGGAAAGUGGAAUUCCUAGUGUAGCGGUGAAAUGCGUAGAUAUUAGAGGAACACCAGUGGCGAAGCGACUUUUCUGGACAGUAACUGACGUUGAGGCACGAAAGUGUGGGGAGCAAACAGGAUUAGAUACCUGGUAGUCCACACCGUAAACGAUGGAUACUAGUGUAGGGAUGAAUAAUCUUCUGUGCGUCGCAACGCAGUAGUAUCCCNCUGGGGAGUACGC